rnacentral:rRNA from 2 species
GCCCGGUUAACCGUUCCGAUCCCGGUAGCUAAGCCCAUUCGCGCUGAUGGUACUGCAACUUGGUGGUUGUGGGAGAGUAAGUGACCGCCGCAA